rnacentral:snRNA from 1 species
AUAGUCCACUGCCGAUGGGCU